rnacentral:rRNA from 1 species
CAGUAGCCGCGGGAAUACGGAGGGAGCUAGCGUUGUUCGGAAUUACUGGGCGUAAAGCGCGCGUAGGCGGUUACUCAAGUCAGAGGUGAAAGCCCGGGGCUCAACCCCGGAACUGCCUUUGAAACUAGGUGACUAGAAUCUUGGAGAGGUCAGUGGAAUUCCGAGUGUAGAGGUGAAAUUCGUAGAUAUUCGGAAGAACACCAGUGGCGAAGGCGACUGACUGGACAAGUAUUGACGCUGAGGUGCGAAAGCGUGGGGAGCAAACAGGAUUAGAUACCCGAGUAGUCCCUGUCUCUUAUAA